CCUACUGAAACAUAUUCGUGUGGAGAC
rnacentral:sRNA from 1 species